rnacentral:rRNA from 1 species
UACGGAGGGUGCGAGCGUUGUCCGGAAUCACUGGGCGUAAAGGGCGCGUAGGUGGCGGAGUAAGCGUGCGGUGAAAGCUCGGGGCUCAACCCCGAGUCGGCCGUGCGAACUGCUCUCGCUCGAGCAUUGUAGAGGCGGGUGGAAUUCCGGGUGUAGCGGUGGAAUGCGUAGAUAUCAGGAGGAACACCGAUUGCGAAGGCAGCUCGCUGGAACGUUACUGACGCUGAGACGCGAAAGCGUGGGGAGCAAACAGG